rnacentral:tRNA from 1 species
GCCCCAGUAGCUCAGUGGUACCUCGUAUAAUAAAAUAGUUGUGCGAAGCGCAAAAGAGCGCUUGACUUGUAAUCAGGAGGUCGGGAGUUCAAAUCUCCCCUGGGGCU